rnacentral:rRNA from 1 species
GAUCCUGGCUCAGGAUGAACGCUGGCGGCGUGCCUAAUACAUGCAAGUCGAGCGAACGGACGAGAAGCUUGCUUCUCUGAUGUUAGCGGCGGACGGGUGAGUAACACGUGGAUAACCUACCUAUAAGACUGGGAUAACUUCGGGAAACCGGAGCUAAUACCGGAUAAUAUUUUGAACCGCAUGGUUCAAAAGUGAAAGACGGUCUUGCUGUCACUUAUAGAUGGAUCCGCGCUGCAUUAGCUAGUUGGUAAGGUAACGGCUUACCAAGGCAACGAUGCAUAGCCGACCUGAGAGGGUGAUCGGCCACACUGGAACUGAGACACGGUCCAGACUCCUACGGGAGGCAGCAGUAGGGAAUCUUCCGCAAUGGGCGAAAGCCUGACGGAGCAACGCCGCGUGAGUGAUGAAGGUCUUCGGAUCGUAAAACUCUGUUAUUAGGGAAGAACAUAUGUGUAAGUAACUGUGCACAUCUUGACGGUACCUAAUCAGAAAGCCACGGCUAACUACGUGCCAGCAGCCGCGGUAAUACGUAGGUGGCAAGCGUUAUCCGGAAUUAUUGGGCGUAAAGCGCGCGUAGGCGGUUUUUUAAGUCUGAUGUGAAAGCCCACGGCUCAACCGUGGAGGGUCAUUGGAAACUGGAAAACUUGAGUGCAGAAGAGGAAAGUGGAAUUCCAUGUGUAGCGGUGAAAUGCGCAGAGAUAUGGAGGAACACCAGUGGCGAAGGCGACUUUCUGGUCUGUAACUGACGCUGAUGUGCGAAAGCGUGGGGAUCAAACAGGAUUAGAUACCCUGGUAGUCCACGCCGUAAACGAUGAGUGCUAAGUGUUAGGGGGUUUCCGCCCCUUAGUGCUGCAGCUAACGCAUUAAGCACUCCGCCUGGGGAGUACGACCGCAAGGUUGAAACUCAAAGGAAUUGACGGGGACCCGCACAAGCGGUGGAGCAUGUGGUUUAAUUCGAAGCAACGCGAAGAACCUUACCAAAUCUUGACAUCCUUUGACAACUCUAGAGAUAGAGCCUUCCCCUUCGGGAGACAAAGUGACAGGUGGUGCAUGGUUGUCGUCAGCUCGUGUCGUGAGAUGUUGGGUUAAGUCCCGCAACGAGCGCAACCCUUAAGCUUAGUUGCCAUCAUUAAGUUGGGCACUCUAAG